rfam:Heligmosomoides polygyrus genome assembly, scaffold: HPBE_scaffold0015348
GCGUCGGUGGUGUAAGGCGCAGCAUCGCUGCCCGGAAAGUAGAAGGUGCGGGUUCGAGUUUCGCCUGGCGCA